UUCAUUACCAUUUACUUUAUUCAGCCCCACCUCCGCCUUGCCCUAACUCCUGACGUCACCGACCUGCCCACCCUAGUAGCCAUAGGUAGAGUCCUCCGUCAGUCAAAUUACGCCCCAACUCGAAGACCGAUAUCCUUUUCUGAUUGGUUCAAAUGGCGGCCUGAUCCUCCGACUAUUGGCUUCCUCUACUUGUCCGUCAAGAAACCAAUUUCCAAGUCCGUCACUUCGGCUUUUUUUAAAUGAACGCGCAAAAGUAUCCUAAAAGGGAUUGGCUAGUAUUCGUAGAUGGCCAAGCCCCGAGUCUGCGGACCCUGCAGUUCUGACCUCUACACUUCGCGGAGAACGAACACCAUAAAGAAACCAACGGGCAGUCCAGUUAUAGGUGGAAAUUGGUCCCACCCGGAGUGGAGAGAGCCGGCUUCUGAUUGGCCAGAGAAGUGCCCCUAGACCCUCAUUGGAAGAAGUGGCCGCCUCUCUUUGGCAUAGAGCUGUGAAGGAAGAGCACAGAAAGAGCCAUCUUCGACAGCCUGGGAAUUAUUUAAAUGACUUACACAAUAUAUUUUUUAAAUCACACCUUUGCUUGGGACACCUUAUAUUAGAAGAUUGAAGUACGGGACCUCACCUUCCAAAAUAAGGAUCAACAUGCUAAAGAUCAACAAAUAAGGGCUCUUGGAUUCCCUUGCCUCGAGAACCCAGGCAACCACAGACAGACAUCAGAGCCCUGUCUCGCACUGCUUGAUUUCCUCUUGAUCUCCUUUGGCAGACACUCAAAUGCAAUAUGAGAUUCAGUGAUGUAACUAGGCUGCGGAUUGUAUACAACUCACUCUUUAAUCACUAAAAGUAAGAAAACAUA
ensembl:lincRNA 1110020A21Rik RIKEN cDNA 1110020A21 gene